GACCCACAAUUGCUCAUCUCAGAUGAGUGAUAAAUGAUGGGUGAUUUUUGAAACGCUAGAAUUUUCAAACAAAACAAACAUAUCCUAUCCUAUUAGUUAUGAGGCCAGCCUGUAACACGGUGAAGAAGGGAGAAAGGCAGGGUUGGGCUGCCCUGGGCCCGCACCCGUUCUGGAUGGAGAAGUGAUUGGGUCCCUAGCUUGGCGUCAUUACGUUGGAAGCAGCGGAGAGGGAAACCAACCCCAGGAACUUGACCUAAUGAACACGGGCCACAAAUUAACAAAGUUGGCUGGGAAAAACAUUGUGAGUUUUAGUCACUCGAGCAUCAGUAAAUCUGCUAGAAGUCAGGGCUGAUUGCUUAUAGCUUGUUACGAUGUUGAUUGUUUACAAAUUACAUUUUCCCUUUAAAAGGCAGGCACCUCUCAGCGGCUCCCUGCCACUAGUCCCUUGCUGAGUGCUUCCCACCAGGGACAAAGGCUGCCUGCUGUUCGCUGACCUAACAUGCAGCUCUGCACUCUGUGGCCCCCUUGCUUCACACGGCUCCUUCUCUCCCUUCUCCUAUAUUUUCAAAUCUUCCUUAAACCCAGUCCUCCUACGAGCGGGGUUGUCAGACAGGCACUGGACUGUGCACACACUUAUAUUUUCUCAUGAUUUGCAGCUACCUGGAGGAGUGAAGGCUGAGUGCAAAAUUGCCUCGUGAGAUCUGCUUUCCGGUUUAAAUCACUUACGGUUUAAAUUUAUUCAUUCAUUCAUUCGACCUGUAACUUGAAUGAAUGAAUGAACCAGCACUUGUCUGAUUGUCCCUGCCAGACAGCUGCUGGAGCUGCAGAGACAGAUUUCAGAGAGUCAGAGGAUCACAAGCGCAGGCUUGGCUUGCAGGCACAUCACUCCAAUCUCUGCCUUCAUCGUCACAUGGUGCUGUGGGCUGACUGUGUCCCAGUCCCCAGUUCAUAUGUUGAAGUCCUAAACCCUAAUACCUCAGAAUGUGACUGCAUUUGGAGAUAGGGCCUUUAAAGAGGUAAUUAGCUUAUAAUGGGGUUGUUAGGGUGAACCCUAAUCCCGUAUGACUGGCGUCCUUGUAGGAAGUGAUUAGGACACAGACAACAGACAGAAAGUGACCAUAGGAGGACACAGUGAGAAGCCAGCCAUCUGCAAGCCAAGGAGAGAGGCCUCGGGAGAAACCAAACUUGCCAACACCUUGAUUUGAGACUUCUAGCCCUCAGAACGGUACUUAUUUCAUCUACACUUGAAAAUGUGCUGCAACCUCCUUAUCAUUUUGAUGUCUAAUCUAAUUGGCCUCAUAUGGAGAAAAAUUCUGUCCCACAACCACACAAACCAAGCCCCAGCCAGCCUUCAGCCCGUGCCGUCUCUCAUCACCAGGAGGCCCAGGGGAGAACGCGGACAAGGUCUCAGCAAGUUCUCCCACUCCCCAAACCUGACUGUGAAAAGGAAAGCCUACGUUCUCCCCAGGACCUCCAGGGGCAAUCUAUUUAUAAGUUAAGGACUCUGCUUGCUAACAUUUACAGCCAUAAGCUGUCUCAUUUCCCCACCAGCCUUUUCCACUCGUCUGCUUCACCUUUGCAGACUGAAUAGUUCAGUUUGCAAUCAUAAAGAUUACAACCUGUGGCUUUAUGUUCUUUGUGUUGGUUUCAUCUUGGAAACGGAGGAAAUGGGAAGAAUAAUUAGAUGGGUUGAUGUUCAGUUCACUGAGGAUGAGAGACUAAAGGGCCAGAGUUGUUGAAAUUUAGAAAUAAAAGGCGCCUUUGUGUCCCUUCAAAAUAUCAGCUUAAGAAAUGUCUUUAUAAUGAGACAGUUCCACAAAGUGUAUUUUUUCUUACAUUUAUUGUGACUUCUUUAUUUUUGGGGCCUUUCAGACUGUCCUCUUGAUGUUGUUGUUCCUUUUAAAUCAGAUUCUCUCUCCUUUCUGCUCACCCCUGACUCUGCGCAACCCUCUCUCUCUCUCCCCUCUGUCCAAGAAGCACAUGUAUUCCUUGAAGGAUAUUGACUCUUACAAGUUAUAUUUUGCUAUGAGGGAAUUUUAUGUAAUUUAUUGCCAUGUCUUUAAGGGUGAUUUUAAAAUUUUGCUUAAGUGGCCAAAGGAGUUUCAUGGAGAUAUUUUGUUGCAAAUCACUCACGUAAAGUAAUAAAAGCCCGAUCUAGGGGUGCAGCAGUCCUCUGCUUUAGAAGGCCUGGGGCACCCAGGGUGCUGGAACCUGCCUAUUGGGAUAGGAGAGGUUAAUUAAAUUACCUUAUAUUUAGGGUUAAUUUGGUCCUAGUCUUGCCAGGUAAUAGACAACAAGCCCGGACUUGACUGGGAACACCAGCUUGGGCAUGAGCAGCUUCUCCCGGGUAUUUCUAUUGUCAGAUUAAUUGAGUUGACAUCUUGGUUGCAAUUAGUUACAAAUGUGGUUCCAAUAUUAUUUCAACAGGUGUCAGUUUAGGGGCUGUGGUCAGAAUCACACAACCUGUUAAAUGAAGAUGGGAGGGCUCAGUUCAGGUCAGCCGCUCAGGUGCCGAUGUGCCUGUGUCUUGUCAAGCUCUAGGAAGGGAAGGGAGGUUUGGAGAUGUUUCCAAAGAACCAUCACUUGCAAGAGAAUUCAAGACUCAACUAUGUUUAGAUGCCAAUUUGGCAUGCACUUUCACUGGGUCCAGCUUGGUGUAGAAAGUAUUUUGUUGGUAUACGAGUAAUGGGAAAUUCUUCCUGUAUUGGUAGCAACCACUUUUAAUUAUGGAUUACAAUUUGCAACACUAAUGCAAAUCUGAACCUUUCAGAAAGUAAAUUGUGAGAAGUCCUAAAUUGUGUGAAAUUAUAUUUCCCAGAAAUACUAUAGCCUCAAUCCAUACAGAUGUUUAGGAUGGUAAUUCCCUAGGUGAGGAAAGUGUUCAGAUGGCCCAGGUACUGUGAUUGCAUGGACUUGGACUCAAUAUUAUUUCCCACCUUCAUUCCCAAGCCCUGAGAAGCACUUCCACAUCGUUACUCAGAUGAGAAACACACUCAAGGCUUUCCUCCACUUGUUUUAGAUAAGAGCUCUACAGAAGGCACAACCUAAGGAAAAUCCUUUAUCAAGCCACUUCCUUGUGGACCUGGUUGGUACUCUGUCUACACUUUUUUGCCCACAGAAAGAGAUCUUUAGUGGAUCUUUGACAGUUGCCAAGCUUCAGCCACUCUGGAGGAUCACCCAGUGCUCUGGAAGAAUGUCUGCCAUUUAAAAAUAUCACCGAACCAAACAACACAACUUCUCGAUCUGUCAGAAAACCAACAAGUAGGCCUCUGCCCUUUGGAAAUUCAAUGUGAACUUAUUAUUAUCACAUACUGUUUGGUAUGGUUUCCACAUAUUAAUUAUCUAAUGAGUAAGUGCCUGAACAAAGACCCUAUUUCCUCCCUAUCAUCCAAAACUGGUGCCAGUUUUCUGAAUAUGUACAAAUAAAAGCAUGUUGUCUAUUACCUAAUGAUACUAGGACAGACUAAGAAUAAAGUACAGUGAGGUUGUUUAACUCUUCCUAUAUCACAGGUCAAGCAAAUCUAUGAUGCCAGUGGUUGAAAACCUUAGUAGAAAAAACAUCUUGAAUAAUCGACCAGACGUCCAGGAGACAGCUGGGCAUUCGAGAGCCUAUGAGGCACACAAACAACCUUAGAGCCAAGUUGCAUUCUCUGUUUGGCCUCAGAGCCAAAGUCUCGAGCACAUUCAGCCAGACUGCCGGCAGAAAAGAUAUGAAACUGGCAUUCUGUCUUAGGCCUAAGCAAGGUCUUGGAAGCCCCAGGUCCCUGACCAUGGCCUGCACAGAGCCACGCUUCAGCCCUGGGUCUCAGCAGGCAGCCAGGGGAGGCUGUGGUAAGUAAAUUACUGUCCAGCCCUUGCUCCCCAUGGAUGUGUCAGCCAUCAAAUCCACCAAUGAGCCAACAAUUAAGGUGGAACACCUGGUUUCACUAUAGCAUUACAUACCUGCCACAGGCACUUUGGACACAUAAAAUCACAUGUUGGAGGAUGGAAAACCAGCUGAUGUAUCUAUUCAUCAUAGCAAGAUAGGGAGGAGUCAGGACACAGACCCUAACAUUUGGAAGAGCUAAACUCAGGCCCAGGUUUUCAGAAACAAAAUGCCAUUAAACACGAAAGACUGAAGGGUGAUGGAGGCCCCAUUAGGGAAGAAUUCACAAAGCUUCAUUUCUGACAAUUACUUGGAGAGUGAAAUAUAAUGACCCCAUUUAUUCCAUCAGCAAAAGUUGUCACGGUCUUGCUACAAGAAGAAUGAGCCUCCAGACCCUUUGGAAAUUCAACGUGAACUUACCAUUUUCACAUUCUGUUUGGUAUAGUUUCCACAUGUUAAUUGUCCAAUAAGUAACUUCCUGAACAAAGAUUCUUUCCCUCCCAAGCAUUGAAGCUGGCGUCAGGCCUCUGAAUAUGUGCAAAUCAAACAAGACACAGGCUUGUUGUCUAUUACCUGAUAAACCUAGGAUUAAAUUAAUGUAAAAAAUAGUGAGUUUCUUCUCUUUUUAUCUCCUAGAUCAAAUAACUCUAUGAUGGAAAUAGGAUCAUCAUAGAGUGUGUUGGUAGAGAAAAAUCUUGAAGUAAUAAUGUAUGUCUUCCUAUAGGAUAUUAACGGCUAAUACCUUUGGAAUUAACAUCAUCUCAUAUGUAACAUGCAUAUUAUUUGUAUAUAAUUAACAAAUUUUGUUAUCAAUAUUGUAUCUAUGUGUAUACAGCAUACAGAGAUAAUGAAAUAUUAAUAUUGUGUUCUUAAAUAUUCUGAAGUCAGAUCUUUAUAACUAAAUUUUUCUGGCUUUUUGUUAUUUACAAAAUUUAUUUGUUUGGGUAAGAUUUUAAUUCCUUUUAAUUUAAUAUUCCAUCGUACACCACAGACUCCCUAGCCCGUUUGGAAUUAAUAAGAAAACAAAUGAGUAAGUGGGUGAGUGAAUGAAUGAACUGUUAGUUUCUCUCUUUAGAGUGCCAAGUCUCAAUCUUGAGGAGCCUUUUAUAGCUCAGCCCACACCCCAUGCAGGCCUCCUUCCACCUCCGCUUUCUAAGUGGGUCUGUAGACAUUUUCUAGGAGCAGAAUAUGGCUUAAAGAAAGCACUAUUUGAAAAGUAUUUAAUGAUAUUCCCUGAAGUUACUUGGCCAAAUACGACUGAAUCUUUAUAACACAGAGAAAACAAAAUUAUUUACUCAUUCAGUAUUUAUUAGUUUGGAAAUGGGGACACAGCACCUCGCACACAAAGAGCUGCUGUUUGCUUUACCCCGGUACCUGACUUGCGCGCCUUCAGAAGACUUGAGGAAGAGACUUACAGUUCCCAAGCUAAUGUUGACUCUUUGUAGCACAAUUCUUUACAUUUUAAGGAGCAAUUAAUUCUGAUAAUUGAUGUUAGUACAACAUGGACCUUAAAUGAUUUAUGAAAGAGUUUUCUGCCUCAAGACAGGCAUCUCUGAAAGUAACCUUGCCCAUUUCUGCCAUGCCCUGGGGAAUGCCAGGAAUGAAGGAAACCAGAAGGCUGGCGAAGACGGGACAGCACAUGCUAACCCCCAGCCACCUGGGCCUGGCUCAUCAUCUGGAGCUGGAAGUGCAGAUGCUAGGCAGGCUCGAGAUGGAGUUUCAGGUGCCGGGAUGAGAGUGAGACCAUGGAGCCUGAAAGGGGGGCUUCUGGCUGAGAGAGUCUACAGUCAUGUGGUUCUGUGGCUGCCCACGCCAAGAGAAUGUCCGCUUGUGCCAAAUACUGACCCUACUGGCCAUCACCGCACUGCUCCUUGGGAUUUUCAGUGCUUUAGGAUUUGCCUUGAAAAGGCAAAGACCCCUAGUACAGGUAAGCUUUGAGCUGUUACACUUUGUUUAUGAACUAAGACCUUAGUCCGAGUUCAUUGGACAUUCCUGAGGAUUAAGAAUGGCACGGUGGGGAGGGGAGGGGAGGCAGCAAUGAAAGGGAAACUGAUAGGGAAGGACAAGGGGCCUAGAACUGAUUGAACACCUACUAUUUGAUAGGCAUUGUGCCAGUCCCUUUAUAUAUUUGUGUUCCUAAGUUCCCAUAAGAACAUGGAAAGAUGGAUAUAAUUAUCCCCAUCUAUAGAAGAAGAAACUGAGGCUAAAGAGGUUGAGUAACUUGCUGUUGGCCACAUUUCUAGGAAGUGGCAGUGCUAGCAUUUCCAUAUAGCAUUGCCUGGCCCCAUGUGCACUCCUUCCAUGACACCACGAGGGCACUCCAAAGACAGACGCAUCUCAUGUCCCUGCCUGUGGUCUAGCCUCUCGCUUGGGGGAGCCAGGACUGGGAUUGUGGAGACCAUUGACUGGCUCCAAUGGAGUGUCCAGAGAGGGGCUGAGUGUUUCAUUUCCUCUCUCAGGUCCCCAUUCACCUCUCCAAAGUAACCUCCUGUAGUUUCAACAUCAGGAAGAAUAGUUUAAGUUUGCCAAGCAAGGACAGCCUCCAAGCUCUAAACUCGCCUUCUCACUAGACUGUCAACUCUCAGCCCCUCCUCAAUGGAAAACUUAGAGCCUCCUUCAAUUUACACAGUUUUAUGUUAAUGUCUCUUAGACUGAAUGCUCCCUGAAUGUAGGAAUUGUGUCUGCUCAACUUUGAGCUGCAUCUGGUUGACUACACGUGGUAUGUGACCUAUAAUAACUUCUCAAUAAAUAUCGGUGAAAUGAA